UAGCCCUACGGGAGGCAGCAGUCGGGAAUAUUGCGCAAUGGAGGAAACUCUGACGCAGUGACGCCGCGUAUAGGAAGAAGGUUUUCGGAUUGUAAACUAUUGUCAUUAGGGAAGAUAAAAGACUGUACCUAAGGAGGAAGCCCCGGCUAACUAUGUGCCAGCAGCCGCGGUAAUACGUAGGUGGCAAGCGUUGUCCGGAUUUACUGGGUGUAAAGGGCGUGUAGCCGGGCUGACGAGUCAGAUGUGAAAUCCGG
rnacentral:rRNA from 1 species